CCUACGGGAGGCAGCAGUGGGGAAUAUUGCACAGUGGGCGAAAGCCUGAUGCAGCGACGCCGCGUGAGGGAUGACGGCCUUCGGGUUGUAAACCUCUUUCAGCAGGGAAGAAGCGAAAGUGACGGUACCUGCAGAAGAAGCGCCGGCUAACUACGUGCCAGCAGCCGCGGUAAUACGUAAGGGCGCAAGCGUUGUCCGGAAUUAUUGGGCGUAAAGAGCUCGUAGGCGGCUUGUCACGUCGGGUGUGAAAGCCCGGGGCUUAACCCCGGGUCUGCAUUCGAUACGGGCUAGCUAGAGUGUGGUAGGGGAGAUCGGAAUUCCUGGUGUAGCGGUGAAAUGCACAGAUAUCAGGAGGAACACCGGUGGCGAAGGCGGAUCUCUGGGCCAUUACUGACGCUGAGGAGCGAAAGCGUGGGGAGCGAACAGGAUUAGAUACCCUGGUAGUCCACGCCGUAAACGGUGGGAACUAGGUGUUGGCGACAUUCCACGUCGUCGGUGCCGCAGCUAACGCAUUAAGUUCCCCGCCUGGGGAGUCGGCCGCAAGGCUAAACUUAAUGAAUUGACGG
rnacentral:rRNA from 1 species